GACGAACGCUGGCGGCGUGCUUAACGCAUGCAAGUCGAACGGAAAGGCCCUGCUUUUGUGGGGUGCUCGAGUGGCGAACGGGUGAGUAACACGUGAGUAACCUGCCCUUGACUUUGGGAUAACUUCAGGAAACUGGGGCUAAUACCGGAUAGGAGCUCCUGCUGCAUGGUGGGGGUUGGAAAGUUUCGGCGGUUGGGGAUGGACUCGCGGCUUAUCAGCUUGUUGGUGGGGUAGUGGCUUACCAAGGCUUUGACGGGUAGCCGGCCUGAGAGGGUGACCGGCCACAUUGGGACUGAGAUACGGCCCAGACUCCUACGGGAGGCAGCAGUGGGGAAUAGUGCACAAUGGGCGGAAGCCUGAUGCAGCAACGCCGCGUGCGGGAUGACGGCCUUCGGGUUGUAAACCGCUUUCGCCUGUGACGAAGCGUGAGUGACGGUAAUGGGUAAAGAAGCACCGGCUAACUACGUG
rnacentral:rRNA from 1 species